GGGGGUGUAGCUCAGUGGUUAGAGCGGAGGACUCAUAAUCCUUUGGUCGUGGGUUCGAUCCCCACCGCCCCCA
rnacentral:tRNA from 1 species